UGGCUAGCCCGCUCGGCGCUCUCCUCUCCUCUGCGCGCGCCCGCCCCUCCCCCGCGCCUGGACGCUCGCGCUCCUCCUGCACCCCCCUCCUGGAGAAGGGACCCUGCUGAAUAAUGGAACGGGAUUGAGGCUAGCAAGAGAGGCCACUUUCUUCCUCCUCGCCCACCCCACCUGGAUGAACCCCAAUAAUGCUCUCUGGCACAGCCUGCUGAGAUGCCGCGGCGGCCACCUCUGCACCACCCCUCGCAACGCACGUGCACACUGAGAUGUGUAUCGGCUUGGGUAUGGAGACAUCCACGUGCCCAUACGGGCACAGUGUGCGGGUAGGCACACAGGCUCAGACACAUACAUGCAUGCAUGUGCUCACAGACACUGGCACACCAACUCACUCUCAGGGGAGCAUAUACACAUGCUCACAGGGCAUACAUGCGUGCACACACACGUUUGAUCACAGGACAUGAAUGGCCAACAUACACACAGACACCCCUGCUCCCCAAGCUCACCCUCCAAAAUAGGGUCCACAGCAUACAGUGCACCCAGAGCCUUCGAGGUACUCAGGAAUAAGACAUGCCACACACGUACAACUCCCCACCACCUCCCCAAAAAGCUGCUCCCCCAGCCCCCUGCACAAGCCUCUCCUGGACUCCUCCAAUCCUUCCUCUCCACUACCACUGCCCCUCCCCCAGCCCCAACCUCUCCCUCCAUGGGGGGGUCUAGAGGACACCUGCCCACUGAGUGUCCCAUUUAGGACAAAACCCUUCCUGGGCCACGUAUGUCAAGCUGAGGAAACCACUUCUCCUUCAGGAUGCCCUCCAAUUGGGUUCUGUCCCCCAAACUUUUGGAUGCUCUGGAAAGCACCUGUGGCCCCAGAGAGCAGACACUCAUAAGCCUUAAAGGAACACAAAGUCCCCUCCACCCCCAGGAGUAGUCCCCAUGUCACAGAUGGAGAAAUUGAGGUGAAGGCUCCACUGUGUGGGAGUGAAGCAGUGGCGACGGGCAGCAGCGCUUCGUGAUCCUGAUUUCUUCCGCCCCAGGCAAGAAGUGCCCACCAUGGGUACCACCACCACCGCCCCCCCCCCCCCCAGGACUAAAUGAGCAGCAGGGAGUGACAAACAGUCAGGUGCACCUAAGUUCCAGCCAAGCUCUACCAUCGACACUCUAUGACUUGGGCAGGACCCCAGGGAAGAUGAUUCAAGCAAUGCUGAGGAGGCUGCACUCUGCCCACCCACUCCAGCCCAAUCAUCCAAGGGAAAUGCCAAAGCUACCCCACAGAGUAGAAGGUUGCCUCCCCGCCAUUCCUGCCUCAGCUGCCCUCCCUCUGCAGGGCUCUAACCAGCUGCAGGCCACCAACCACUAGGGACUGGGAGCUGCUGCUAACCCUGCCCUCUCUGGGGAGGGGCCUCAAACAGAAUGCAAGUUGGCAAUCAGAUGUCCAGCCUAGGAGGAAAAGAACCAAGCGAAGACAAUAGGGAGUGACCUUGUGGCUCAAGGGGACAAACUGCAGCUGGGAUUACUGGGGAAGAAAGAGGAGCCCAUUCCAGGGAAACCAGCUGUCCAGCAGCCUGGCCUCCUGGAAGCCUCCAGAGCCUGUCCUCUGGGGUGUGGUCCUGCUCUCAGCGGGAAAUAACAGAUUCCCACUUCAUGCCCUGAGGGCACCAAAGGGGGUGCAGAUUGUUAACAGCCCCCCUCCCUGUGCAAUAGUGUGUCUGUGUGAGGUACAAGUACAUGUAAGGCCAUCACCAAAACUACACAGGACAGCAGCAAGUUCACCCCACUAAGGCCAACACCUUUGGUUUUGGGUGAAGGGAGCAGGGUCCCACCAGCUGAGAACAAGGAGAAGAGGCCAUCUAUCAGUGGGUCCCCCCAGAGCUUCAGGCAGCAGCAAUCCUGCACAGCCCCAGGAGAAAGACCCUAUGAGGGGACAGCAGGCCACAGCUCCCCUGGGACUCUGCAGACAAGGGAUGAGAAGGAAGAAGCAGCACAGCUCCUGAACGCUCAGAGGCCCUGUUUCCUCCCUGGCACCCCUAUGGCUGGGAAUGGACCCUGGUCUCCCCAAACUGCCCCCAGCCCUCCCAGGCACUCACGAUCAUU